rnacentral:rRNA from 1 species
GAGUUUGAUCAUGGCUCAGAUUGAACGCUGGCGGCGUGCCUAACACAUGCAAGUCGAGCGGUAACAGGUGUAGCAAUACAUGCUGACGAGCGGCGGACGGGUGAGCAAUAUUUGGGAAUCUGCCUAUUAGUGGGGGACAACCCGGGGAAACCCGGGCUAAUACCGCAUACGCACUACGGUGGAAAGCCGGGGACCGCAAGGCCUGGCGCUAAUAGAUGAGCCCAAAUCGGAUUAGCUAGUUGGUGAGGUAGUGGCUCACCAAGGCUACGAUCCGUAGCUGGUCUGAGAGGACGACCAGCCACACUGGGACUGAGACACGGCCCAGACUCCUACGGGAGGCAGCAGUGGGGAAUUUUGGACAAUGGGCGCAAGCCUGAUCCAGCCAUGCCGCGUGCAGGAUGAAGGCCUUCGGUUGUAAC